CACACACACCGUGAACACACACACCGUGAACACACACCCGGAGCAGUGGGCAGCCAUAAAAGAAUGAAGCAAGAAUCAACAUGUUCCUCCUCUUCCAGGGGACUGAAAUACAACACAUCAUCUACAGCCGACUUUACAAUUCUGCAAGUACUUUGAAGUACGAAGAAAUGGCUGUUUGUUGUGAUUUAAUUCUGCUUUUAGACGACUGAAGGAAGAUCAUGAGCUGGUGGUGAGCUGAUGAUGAGAAGCUGAGAAGAUGAGCUGGUGGUUACAGACAUGACGAAUGUGGAAAAAGCUAUUUUCAUGGCAAAAUUCAAUAACAAAAAUACAAAUAUCAUAUAAAUGCAAUAAAAACAAAACAAAUAUAAACAGCAA